CUAUACAGGCGAGGAGUGUUGGUCCAAAUCCCGUCACUCUAAGCGUCUCUGUCGGGAAGGUCCAGUCCACCUGGUGGAAGGCCUUCUCCGCAUCAGUGGAAAGCAGAAGCAUGUGCUCUCCCGUAGUUCUGGCAAGGUGUUGUAUGGAGAGUACUCUAAGUGCGCUGUCUCUCGCAUCUCGGCCCGGGAUAAAUCCCGUUUGAUCUGAGUGUAUUAGCAUUGAGAGUAAUGUGUUCAGUCGGCUCGCUAGUACCUUGGUGAACAGUUUGAUGUCCACGUUUAGGAGGAAAAUUGGCCUGUAGCUGCUACACAGCUCUUGGU